GGACAGGUGGCGGAGUGGUCGAAAAAACCGCACUCGAAAUGCGGCAUACUCGCAACGGUAUCGUGGGUUCGAAUCCCACCCUCUCCG
rnacentral:tRNA from 1 species